UUGGAGGGCAAGUCUGGUGCCAGCAGCCGCGGUAAUUCCAGCUCCAAUAGCGUAUAUUAAAGUUGUUGCAGUUAAAAAGCUCGUAGUUGAACUUCGGGGUUUACCCAUUGGUCAGGCUUAAUUGUCUGUACUGGUGAGAUAAAUCUCUACCUUCUGAGGAACUUUUAUGCCAUUUAUUUGGUGUGAUUGGAAAUCAGGACUAUUACUUUGAAAAAAUUAGAGUGUUUAAAGCAGGCUAACGUCUGAAUAUAUUAGCAUGGAGUAAUGAAAUAGGACGGCUUGGUUCUAUUUCGUUGGUUUCUAGGAUCACCGUAAUGAUUAAUAGGGAUAGUUGGGGGCAUUAGUAUUCAAUUGUCAGAGGUGAAAUUCUUGGAUUUAUUGAAGACUAACUACUGCGAAAGCAUUUGCCAAGGAUGUUUUCAUUAAUCAAGAACGAAAGUUAGGGGAUCGAAGACGAUCAGAUACCGUCGUAGUCUUAACCAUAAACUAUGCCGACUAGGGAUCGGACGAAGUUAAUUUUAUAAUGACGCGUUCGGCGCCUUACGGGAAAC
rnacentral:rRNA from 1 species